rnacentral:rRNA from 1 species
UACGUAGGGGGCAAGCGUUGUCCGGAUUUAUUGGGCGUAAAGAGCGUGUAGGCGGCCAGACAGGUCUGCUGUGAAAACUCGAGGCUCAACCUCGAGACGCCGAUGGAAACCAUCUGACUAGAGUCCGGAAGAGGAGAGUGGAAUUCCUGGUGUAGCGGUGAAAUGCGCAGAUAUCAGGAAGAACACCCGUGGCUAAGGCGGCUCUCUAGUACGGUACUGACGCUGAGACGCGAAAGCGUGGGGAGCGAACAGG